ACAUACUAAAAUUAUGACCUCUAUAAAACGGAGGUUUAAUUCGUAAAUAGAAUCAUCACAGGUGGAUUCGAGUACUUAAGAAAGGCCCUGAUUGUAUGAUAAAAAAUUUAAAUUGUCUUGUCUGUGGAAUGCGUAUUUUUUUAUUUAGUUUUGAGCUGCGUCUGCAAAAAAGAAUAUUAACAUUGAUUAUUGUACUGAAUUAUUUUAUUUUCUCGCAACCGUAGUGAAAAGUAUAGUGUAAAAAGCGGGGCUAAACCCAUUAUAAACUCCGUUUCUAUUUAGCAGCCCUCGCCUUGCGGCUCGUGCCUUAAAAAUACCUCGUAUGUAGGUCUUUUUAGCCCCUUGUUUAACAAUCUACUAUUUAAAAGCAACACACUAAAUAUUACUAUGGAUAUACUACAAUGAUGAUGUUGUUUACUCAUUUUCAGGCUAUCAUGAGCGUGAUGUACGAAUACGUACAGUGCUCAGUAAUCACUGAUGUGUUGGGGGAUUUAAACAAUGUUGUCGGAAAUCUCGUUGAGGGACUAAACUCUACAGGGCAGCAGCUAGCGAAGGAUGUAGUGGGUGACCCUUCGAGCUAGACUAAAUACUGGAUCAUCGACAUUGUUUGCUGCACUGAAGUAGAAUCAACGAGUAGAAACAUGUACACCAAAAAUACUCAACAUCUCAAACGGGCUGUUUAACUACCAAUCUUUGCCUAUGGGGACAAAUUGAAAAAAAAAAAAAACACCAAAGACGAAAACCUCCUUGCAAAUUCCCAUAAUGAAAAUACUCAACAUCUCAAGCGGGCUGUAUAGCUACCAAUCUUUGCCUAUGGGGACAAAUUGAAAAAAAAAACACCAAAGACGAAAACCUCCUUGCAAAUUCCUUGUAAUAUAAAUUAGAAAAACUAUUCAACAAGGAAGCUAAUUUUGCUGAAACGAUUAUUUUGUACUUUCUGGUUCUGAGUUUUUUUUUUAUAAUAGACUUAUAUAUAUUUGUCCCAUGCGCAUACAAUAAUUUGGUAGUACAUUGUUCAUCUUACUUUGCUGACACUAUUUUAUGGGCAGCUAUGAAUAUUAUGCUUACCCUUGGCUUUGUUAAAAUUGGUUACGAAAGUUAUUGCAAUAAAUAUUUUAUUUUCUCAUUUACCUAUUGUAUUUUUAUUUUUGACGGACGCCCUUAGAAUUUUAGUAAAUCGGUCUAUUCGUUUUUGAACGAUGCUUAAUUUAUUUUUUUUACUAAUUCCGCGGGAACCAAUGAUUUUACCGGAACAAACAGUAGCAUAUAUCUAUUGCAUGAGACGUGAGUCCAGUGGACAUGACCUCUGCCUUCGAUUUAGAGGGCGUAGGUUCUAAUUCGGUCAACUUCAACCCGUCAGAUAAGUAGAAACUAGAAAAAAAACAUACAUACAGCCGAACGUAGAACCUCCUCCUUUUUGGAAGUCGGUUAAUUAAAUAUCACGUGUCUCAAACGGUAAAGGAAAAAUAUCGUGAGGAACCCGGCAUUCUUGGCAAUUUUCUUUGUGUGACGUCUGCCAAUACGCAUUGGGCCAGCGUGGUGGACUACCUACUAGUCUACUCCUCUCAUUCUGAGAAGACCCGUGCUCAGCAAUGAGCCGAAUUAAAUAACCGACUCACAUUUAUAAAAAUACUAGCGGACGCCCGCGACUUCGUCCGCGUGAAACUCGAUGUAAACUUUAAACUUCCCCUACCCUACGUUGAAAUUUUUCCUGAAUUUUCUUUGCUAUAAACCUCACGGAGCCCGAGACCUUUCCAAUGAAUGCAAAACCGUGGAAAUCGGUUCGUGCGUUUUGGAGUUAUAGCGUCAGGAAGGAAAACCCGACUUAUUUUUUUUUUUUAAAUUAUCCUAUGUCCUUCUCCUGGCUCUA